UCUGUGCUGGGAGAGGACAGAACCGCCCUAGCUCUUUCCUGCUUCUUCCCCAGCAGGUUUAUUUCGAACCGCAUCGGGGAAAUGGACAAGAUCCCAAAGCUCAUUCCUUCCUUCCCCCAGGACUCAUUCCCUGCGGCUUUGUACUUCACCUCCUACGUCGAAUCUCCUUAGGAAACGAGGCGCACGGGAGGGGACACCUGGGAGCUGAAGCGAACCCGUCCUUGGGUCUUUGACCGCCCUGGCCCAGAUUUUCUCCGGAGCUCUUCAUCCAUCUCACCCCCAGUCCCGGGUUAUGAUCCCCAGCCCCGGCCUCUGCCAGAGAUCCAGCUGGCCCUCAGGCGCUCCAGGCUGUCCCCUCCCUUCCAGUUCCAUCCUGCAGCUCCGGGCAGUGGAGAGCAGCUGGAUUCCCGCCCACCCUGCUCCCUCGAAGACCACACCAGUCAUUUCCAAAAUACUGAGAUGAGCAAAGUGAUUUCCGUACAAAGCAGCAGAGUAAUGUAGCGAUUUCAAAUGUCAACUUCAGGCUGUUGAAGAAAAACAGUUCUCUUCACACUCCCCCCACCCUUCCAAACAUUGAGUUUCCAUCACCUGAAUUCAAACCAGUGGCAUGAAGACUCUUUGCUGGCCUAGCCGAAGCUUGGAAAAUCUGCCUGGGAGUUAUAUUUUGGAUCUUUAAGAAGGGGGGGGGGGGAGGGUUGGAGAGG